GGAGGAGUGGUUGAGUGGUUUAAAGCAGCGGUCUUGAAAACCGUCAAAGGUUAAUAUCCUUUCGUGGGUUCGAAUCCCACCUCCUCUU
rnacentral:tRNA from 6 species